GAAAUGCGAUAAGUAGUGUGAUUUGCAGAAUUCAGUGAAUCAUCGAAUCUUUGAACGCACAUUGCGCCCUUUGGUAUUCCUUAGGGCAUGCCUGUUCGAGCGUCAUUUGUAACCUCAAGCUCAGCUUGGUGUUGGGUGUCUGUCCCCGCCCCGCGCGGGGACUCGCCUCAAAAACAUUGGCGGCCGGUACGUUGGCUUCGAGCGCAGCAGAAACGCGAACUCGAGGCCCGACGGAUCGGCGACCAGAAGUCACUUCUUCCACAGCUUGACCUCGGAUCAGGUAGGGAUACCCGCUGAACUUAAGC
rnacentral:misc_RNA from 1 species